UUUUUUUUUAAUUUUAAUUUUCUUUUUUAAAGAAAGAAAAUUUAAAAUUAUUAUAGGUGAGUAAAAAUCCUAGCCCUUGCUUUUGGCUCUCUUCCUCUCUCUGUCCCUCUAUAUUAUUUUAGAUUAAUUAUUUUUUUUAUUUUCCCUUUUAUUUUUUUUUGGGUUUUGUGUGGGUUUUCUUAGAACUUUGGGUUUUUCAUUUUCUUUCUGAUUUUUUUCUCAAUUUUGAUCUGAUUAAUGAUAACUUCUUAGUUGAUGGAGAGAGUUAUGGUGCUUGAAUUUGGAUGUGGAUUGAUAUUCUUUUUUUUUAAUAUUUUUGUGGGUGGUGUUCUUGUUUGUGAAAGUUGAAACUCAGUACUGGAAAUGGAUUUCGGUUUUGAUUCUUGUCUUUCUGCAUCGGGUAGUGGUUCUGAUUUGGAAAAAUGGGUUGUCUGUAGAUUUUUCUUUGGGGGCCUCAAGUUUUAUUUUUAUUUGAGUUUGAUAUUUAAAGUUAUCAGAAACAUGGAUUUUUGUUUUGUUAAAAAAAAUAUUGAUGAUCUUUCUGGAUCUGGAAUUGGAGGAUAACAUAACAUGACCAAACUACUUGAGAUUUAAUUUAAUCUGAAUCAAUUGGAUGGCUAUGUAAGACUGUUUGUUUGAUUUGAUUCGAUUCUGAAGCUGCCAGUUCUUGUAUUCUGUACCAUUUGAGAUUCUUGGAAAAGGGAUAUUAUUUUCUCGCCACCCUUUAAAUCUAUCCUGGUUUGUUUUCACAUGUUGUACUUGUGCCCUUCUUUUUUUUGUUUUUUGUUUCUCCCUUCUCUAAGUCUUCCAAUCUAUAGCUCGAUUUUUUCUGUCAAGUUCUUGAGUGAGUAUUCUCAUCUAAAAGGCAUGUUUUAUGGUUUCAACCCUUCAUGCUUGAUUUCAGUUUUGUUUUUAACAUGUUCUUGAAUACGGAAUAUUAUUUGAAACUCUGGUCUUUCUUGACUUCAACUCUUUGAAGCUAUAUAUUAGUGUUUAAUUGUUUUUUCCCAAAUGGGAUGCCAUGUGAUACUUUAACUUUUAUUAUAGUUGUUUGAAGAUACUUAUUGCUUGGGUGUUUUCUUACCCUUGGCAAUGGUGUAUCACUUGAGGCUUUCAUUUUUUUUCCUUUAUGUUUUUUGAGCUCUUUCAUGCUGCAGCUAGCUCUGUUUUUGUCCUACAGAAUUUAUAGUUAUAUUCUGCUGUAGUUUUAUGUUCAUAGUUGUUAGGAAUUUGGUUCUUGACAUUUUAUAAUUUUGGGCUGAAAAUACAAGCAUGCUAAUUCUUUGCUCACUCUUUACUUCAUUUGGUGAAUAUUUGGAUCUCAAUCUGAAGAAAACAAACUGGAAGGAGUGGGAUUUCAUUUUGAUCUACUUAAAUUGGGAAAAAGAUACAAGCCUAUUUGGUUUAGUUGUUGCUGUUGCCGCUACUAUUAAUGGGAUCUCAUUUGAACUUCAAGAACUUUGGUAAUGCCCCAGCCGGGGAGGGCAGCGGUGCAAAGCCACCAGGGAGUUCCCUUUUAGUCCGCCAGCCUUCAGUAUACUCAUUGACCUUUGAUGAGUUCCAGAACACAUGGGGUGGAGGACUUGGGAAGGAUUUUGGAUCAAUGAACAUGGAGGAGCUAUUGAAAAACAUAUGGACAGCUGAAGAGACUCAGGCAAUGACAAGUUCUGUUGGUGUUGUAGAAGGAAGUGUCUCUGGUGGGAAUUUGCAGAGACAAGGGUCGUUAACUUUGCCUAGGACACUAAGUCAGAAGACUGUUGAUGAGGUUUGGAAAGACUUGAUGAAAGAAAUCAAUAGUGGCGCUAAAGAUGGGAGCAACAUGGGAUCAAAUAUGCCUCAGAGCCAACAGACUUUGGGAGAGAUGACUUUGGAGGAAUUCUUGGCCAGGGCAGGGGUUGUGAGAGAGGAUACUCAGCUAAUUGGAAGGCCAAAUAAUAGCGGAUUCUUUGAUGAAUUAUCCCGUCUAAAUGAUAACGGCAAUAAUAACAGUAACAACAGUACUGGUUUAACUCUUGGGUUUCAGCAGCCAAAUCGAAACAAUGGACUUGUGGGAACCAGAAUAGUGGAAAACAAUAAUAACAUAGUUGCUAGUCAGGCUGCAAAUUUAGCCUUGAAUGUAGGCGGAAUCAGAUCCUCUCAGCCACUACCUCAGCAGCAGCAGCAUCAGAACCAACCCCAGCAGCAGCAACCACUCUUCCCCAUGCCCACAAAUGCGGCUUUUGCAUCACCUAUGCAUUUAGUGAGCAGUGCUCAGCUUGCCAAACCAGGAGUGAGGAGUUCAGUUGUUGGGAUUGCAGAUACAUCGAUAAACAAUAAUUUAGUUCAUGGUGGAGGAAUGGGAAUGGUUGGUUUAGGUGCUGGGGCUGUUACAGUUGUAACACCAGCUCCUGCAAAUCAGAUAUCACCAGAUAUGAUCACAAAAGGUAAUGCAGAUACUCCUUCAAUGUCACCAGUUCCUAACAUGUUUGGCCGGGGAAGAAAAGCCAGUGCUGCUUUGGAGAAGGUAAUUGAGAGAAGACACCGGAGAAUGAUUAAAAAUAGAGAGUCUGCUGCAAGGUCACGCGCUCGUAAG
rnacentral:misc_RNA from 1 species